rnacentral:lncRNA from 1 species
UGGGAGGGCCAUGCGGCCAUGCCAGCUGUGGUGCCGGUGCCUUUGGCAUCCCUUUUGCCAGCAGAAGCACACGGUGGAGGUGGCAGCCUGCCUUGGAGAAGCUACAACAGACGGUCGGGGGCCGUGCCCUCCCAGUGCCUGCUUCCCCGCGGCCACUCAUUCCCCGCAGCCGCCUCCUGCUCCCUGGCUCCAAAAGCCUGCACAAGUCCAGCCUACACUCGCCGCACGCGGUGUAGAAAUGAGUCAGUCACCAGGGCUUACAAAGAUGACGCAGGCACAGCUGACACGCGUGCAUCCAGCGCGUGGGGUGGGCGAGCGGCAGAAAAUAAUGUUGUGCGAGCUGUGGUGGUGGCUAACCAGUGACACAUCGCAUGAUGCUGUCGGACAGCACUAAAAAAGUCACGUCACCACUUUGUCCCAGCAUUGAGAAAAGAUCCACACUAGAAGAGCUGACUGAUGCAUCCCCCUCCUGCAUAGAAACUUCUCCCAAAACCCCAUCUACUACCACCCAGGCUGGGCUCUGUGAAAAUCCUCAGCACAUUUACCAGGCAUAGACUACAACUGGUUGCAUUAUAUCUGACUAAUACAGGCCUUUUCACUGUGCUGUCCUCUUGUGUUACAGGAAAGCAUGUAAAGAGUUAAAAUACACUAAAGAUUUCACAGCCCAUUUUCUAUCUUUUUUACAAACACCAAUUUAGAUUUAUCACACCAAGCUGGGAACAUUUUAUGGGACCUCUGACUUAAAACAUUGGCAACACAUCACCACAGAGGUCUGCCUUUCCUUUUCCAAAAAAAAACCAUGGAAAUACUAAGCUGGAACAGGCUGAGAUGGCCAGCCAGCUGUCUGCUAUUUGAAUCCCAUGAAAACCCAAAUACAGCUGCAGAUUCAACUUUGUUCUGGUCGAAUACAGCAGUCCUGGAAUGUGCUCCUUUCCACUGGGGCAUGAAUAGUGUCAAAAUUAAUGCUGCUUUCUUAGCAGUAUGGAUAAAAAGCUGUGUGACAAUUUUCUAAAGGCAUGUGUAAAUGGGAAAUUAUUCAGGAGCUAGCUGGUUUCUAAGGAGGUCCCAAUAAGAUCAAUUCCUGACUCUUUUUCUACUGAAAAUUUUAAUCACUGAUUUGGGGAGGAGGGGGGAAAGAAAAGAAAGAAACGAAGAGAAAUCAUGACCGAGAAACUCAAGGUGGCAAAAAACUUGUUGGAUCAAGCUGUGGUCAGGGUUAGCAGAACCAAGACAUGCUCCAGGAGGAGGAGAAGGAGGAGGAGGAGGGUGCCUCCAUCAUCCCCACAAAAUGCAUGACCAUUGUCAGAGUUCUCUGUCUGUUACCUGCACCCUGGUUGGGAAGGACACUGAGAACACGAAGAGGGGUUAGGGGAAAAAAAAAAUGCAAAACGAUGAUAGAAUGUGCUAAACCAAUGUAAUGAUCCAGGAGCUCCACCAGUUUUCCUAAGCAGGAGGAAGAGUAUGAUCACAGUCUAUAACUAUCAACCUAUGGAAGAGGAUUUUGAAGUCUCUUAUUCUGCAGAGAAAAGCGUAACAGCAGUCGGUGACUUGGUGUUGAAAAUAGAAAGCUUAGAUGAGAAACAGGUCACCAAUCAUUAAGUAUGUAGGUUCUCUUACUCUGCUUAGCUUGUCGGCUUCUACAGUGCUGGAAAUUUUAAAAUCAAUUGAAUUUUUUCUAGAACAGAUGCUCUUGCUCCAAUUAAUUUGACGAAAACUUAUGGUCUGCCAUAUGCAGAUAGCCAGAGAGAUGGUCAGUAACGGUUCCCCCUGGACUUGUAAUUUACGAGAAUAAAACCGAAAUUAUUACACGUACUUGAUAUAUA